rnacentral:sRNA from 1 species
GCCAUUCAGAGUAAUCCAGCCCUGGCAUCAGUGACUUAUUAUUAUUUUUUUUUGUUGUCACCGGGCCUCAGUGGCUGACAACAAAUAAAAAAGAUAAAAAAAAAAUUAAAAUAAGUCAAUGAGGUCAGGGCUGGACUACUGACAACAACAAAAAAAAAAAAAAAAAAAAAAAAAUGAAAAUAAGUCACUGAGGCCAGGGCUGGACUACUCUGGAUGGC